rnacentral:rRNA from 1 species
AACGCGAAGAACCUUACCUGGGCUCGAACGGCUGGUCAACGGCGGUGGAAACACCGCUACCCCGCAAGGGGGUCCAGUCGAGGUGCUGCAUGGCUGUCGUCAGCUCGUGUCGUGAGAUGUUGGGUUAAGUCCCGCAACGAGCGCAACCCUUGUCCUGUGUUGCCAUACCGAAAGGUGGAACUCGCAGGAGACCGCCAGCGAUAAGCUGGAGGAAGGUGGGGAUGACGUCAAGUCCUCAUGGCCUUUAUGUCCAGGGCUACACACGUGCUACAAUGGACGGUACAAAGGGUCGCUAACCCGCGAGGGGGAGCCAAUCCCAAAAAACCGUUCUCAGUUCGGAUUGCAGGCUGCAACCCGCCUGCAUGAAGCUGGAAUCGCUAGUAAUGGCAGAUCAGCACGCUGCCGUGAAUACGUUCCCGGGCCUUGUA